rnacentral:rRNA from 1 species
CAGUCGCCGCGGGAAUACGUAGGUGGCAAGCGUUGUCCGGAAUUAUUGGGCGUAAAGGGCUCGCAGGCGGUUUCUUAAGUCUGAUGUGAAAGCCCCCGGCUCAACCGGGGAGGGUCAUUGGAAACUGGGAAACUUGAGUGCAGAAGGGGAGAGUGGAAUUCCACGUGUAGCGGUGAAAUGCGUAGAGAUGUGGAGGAACACCAGUGGCGAAGGCGACUCUCUGGUCUGUAACUGACGCUGAGGAGCGAAAGCGUGGGGAGCGAACAGGAUUAGAUACCCCGGUAGUCCCUGUCUCUUAUAC